rnacentral:rRNA from 1 species
GCUCCAAUAGCGUAUAUUAUUAAUGUUGCAGUUGAAACGUUCGUAGUCGAACUAUUUCUGUUAGGAUAGAGCAUCAAUCUAUGAUUGUGCACUAUUUCCAGCGGAAAAUGUGUUACUUUUUUAGUAUGUUUCAUACUUUAAAGGUAACAUUCUACUUUGAGUGAAUCGGCGUGUUCCACGCACUUACGCCUUGAACGAUU